CCGCCUGCUGGGCCGGGGCCGGCCAGUCGCGCUGGCCGAGCGAGAGUUCGCAGCCCUUCGUGCCGCC
rnacentral:tRNA from 1 species